rnacentral:rRNA from 1 species
GGGCCUGUAUGUAACUGUGCGAUCCGCUCUUAUAACCCCCCGGCGGGCCUGAGUGGCGAGUGGGGAACGGGUGAGUAAUACAUCGGAACGUGCCCAUGUCGUGGGGGAUAACGUAGCGAAAGCUACGCUAAUACCGCAUACGAUCUACGGAUGAAAGCGGGGGAUCGCAAGACCUCGCGCGAUUGGAGCGGCCGAUGGCAGAUUAGGUAGUUGGUGGGGUAAAGGCCCACCAAGCCUGCGAUCUGUAGCUGGUCUGAGAGGACGACCAGCCACACUGGGACUGAGACACGGCCCAGACUCCUACGGGAGGCAGCAGUGGGGAAUUUUGGACAAUGGGCGAAAGCCUGAUCCAGCCAUUCCGCGUGCAGGAUGAAGGCCCUCGGGUUGUAAACUGCUUUUGUACGGAACGAAAAGGCCUUGGUUAAUACCUGGGGCUCAUGACGGUACCGUAAGAAUAAGCACCGGCUAACUACGUGCCAGCAGCCGCGGUAAUACGUAGGGUGCGAGCGUUAAUCGGAAUUACUGGGCGUAAAGCGUGCGCAGGCGGUGAUGUAAGACAGAGGUGAAAUCCCCGGGCUCAACCUGGGAACUGCCUUUGUGACUGCAUCGCUGGAGUGCGGCAGAGGGGGAUGGAAUUCCGCGUGUAGCAG